AUAGAGAGCAAAAUAGGAAUAACAAAGCCAAAUGAUCAAGAAGAGAAAGAGUUCAAAUAAACAGUUACAGGAAUCACCAAGGGGACAUAACUAUAAAUAGAGCAGAGAUUUUGCAGAAUAUUAAUAAUUUUAUGUCAAAAAAUUAGAAAAGUGAGACGGAAACAUCUUACCAAAAUCUCAAAACUACAUAUAAAGAGAAAAACUGAGAAAUACUAUAAUUACUAGACUUGAAUCUGUAAUUUGAACGGUCCCAUAGUCAUUUAGAGGGACUUCCAGUAAUAGCAGAAUAUGUAAUUAGACAAACCCCUGCUAAAGGUGGAAAAAAACUGGAUAAAAUAUGAACACAUUUAUAGUUAAAGUGUCAAAGAGUGAACGGGUUAGUGAAGAAUCACUAGGUCAAGACCCAGAAGAGGAAGGGGACCCAGAUGUCCUUGAAGCAGCUGAGAUCAAUGAAGACAAAAGAGAUAAAAGGCACAAAUAACCAAUAUCGGAAAUGAAAAAGCGGACACCACUAGAGUCUACUCACCUUCAAAAGUUCUUUUACAGAGAAACUAAUGUCCGAGAAUAUCAAGAAACAGAAGCUUCCCAGGCCCAACUUGGCUCCCUGACGUCAGAGUCUACCUUCCACCAUGGAGAUAAACAGCCAAGGACACUCGUCUGAGAAAUCCUUUGUCUCCUCCGCUGGAAGCAGCCCCAGACACAGGCUGAUGCGAAAAUGCUGACCAAGAAGUCCACGGCCCCCUGCCCUAAUUAAAACCCCAUAUAAAAACCCCUCCCCAUUUCUUAAUGGGGAGGAAACAACUUUUGGGGCACUGGCCUUUGCUUUGCUCCCUCUGCCUGGCAAAGUAAAGCCUUUCCUUUUUCUCCCAAGACUGUUCUCCUGACUUAGAUUGGCAUCGGGAUCAGAGACUGAACUUGCGGUAACAAUAUAUGCAAAAGUACUAAAC
rnacentral:lncRNA from 1 species